UGGUGGAGUGAUUUGUCUGGUUAAUUCCGUUAACGAACGAGACCUCGACCUGCUAAAUAGUUUGCCGAAUUCUCCGGGAUUCGAGCACAACUUCUUAGAGGGACUAUCGGUGUGUAGCCGAUGGAAGUUCGAGGCAAUAACA
rnacentral:rRNA from 1 species